UACAGAGGUCUCGAGCGUUAGGCGGAAUCACUGGGCUUAAAGCGUGUGUAGGCGGAUCGUUAAGUGCCUUGUGAAAUCCCACGGCUUAACCGUGGAACUGCUUGGCAUACUGGCGAUCUUGAGCAACCUAGGGGCGAGCGGAACAAAUGGUGGAGCGGUGAAAUGCGUAGAUAUCAUUUGGAACGCCAAUGGUGAAAACAGGUAGCUGGGGCUGUGCUGACGCUGAGACACGAAAGCCAGGGGAGCAAACGGG
rnacentral:rRNA from 1 species